rnacentral:sRNA from 1 species
CAAGCCCGAGUUAAAAAGAACCAAUGAACACUUUAUCCACGACCCAUAGCAAUCCUGAAAGAUACCGACACGAUCCGAAGCAACCUAAUCGAUUACACAUUUACAGGGUGGAUACUGAAGACUAAGAACAGCUCUCUCAUCUCAUCCACAGAAGACAAGAGAGGGGGGGUCGGGCUGGCUUAUUGCUCAGGUACAAAUCUCUUUUUACAGAAGCUUCCCUCAUUUAGGGAAUGAGGAAUUGAGGAUCGAAGUCCUGGGAUAUCCAGACUCAAUUCUCAGAAUCCUCGGGUAUCUUGAAAAGGAACUGGGGCAACGAGGCGAUGCGGGGAAGAUUCAUCAGCAGAUCUCCGAAGGAGUCCUUCCUUGACAUGGCUGGUGGCUGAGCGGGACCUGUAGUUUUCACUGUGGAUGCAGCCGAGCUAAAUUCUUCAUCGGAACCUUCGGUGCCAUCGCCUCCAAUGCUAUCACUGUCGUUUGGUUCAGGCUUUGGCUGGGCCACCGGUGGCGUAUCUUUCUGAAUCAAACAGCAGAGGGAGUCCACCCUCGCCAUCAGCGAUCUCUCGUCGGAUGUCGAUGCCGGUGGGCCCUGUGCAUCUCCGAGAAGGUACUGAGCGAUCUCCUCCAGUGUUUCUUUUGUUGGCACCUCGUUGCUGGGCAAUGUAGGAUUGACUGAUGUGAUCUGCUCCGAGAUGCAGUUUCCCAAGUGGUUUACCAAAUCAUCCACUGACAUAGACGGUCUAAGCCCAGGCACUUUCAGUUGACUCCACCAGCUGGGGAUAUUUAACUCUGGAGCACCAUUUACGUUUCUGCUGACUCCCUGAACGUUCACUGCACUAGGUCCUGGUAAAUUGGCUGAGCAAGAAAUCCUGCUUGCGUUGCAAUGGAAUCAUUGACUUCAAUCUUAGCAGACAUGGAUGAACCAGCACAGGGUGACAGAGAACCUGAAAACCCAGAUAAUUCAUGUUCGUCCUUCAAAUUAGUAAAACCUUGGCACUUCGAUUCAACUGGGUCCUCAAAUAUAGAGCAUCUGGGUUCAAAAACGGGAGAGUCCAAUAUGAUGUCUGGUUGCUGACUCAAUUGGUUUAGCCGCUGAUCACACUGGAGAAGCUUUUCAAAGUUUUUGCUCAACAAGCUUGAAGGGCACUGUUCAUACUUGCUUGGCCACCUGUGAAAUCAGAUGUAGCUUGCCACAGUGUGUGUUUCCUUGGUUGAGGAUCCGUCUCUUUGAAGAAGAGAGGAGGUCGGGCCACCACCACAUCCAAGGUUCCCUGUCCAUUUUCAGGGCAAGAUGCCUUCAAUGCAGUAAUAUCCGACCACUGAAUUUCUAUCUUACUCUUCAAACCACCUUCCAGAACUUCCCAUACAAGCUUAUGUUUUGCGAAGUAACAUUUUGCCACCAAAUCACCUUCAUACCAUUCUUACCUCCCAUGUGCCAAUUCUCAAAAUAUUUGCAGGAAAGUUUGAAGCUUUCAAGCGCUCCCCAGCUGUUGAUGUGCCUGAUUUAAGGUCUUUCUUUUUUGGAGGCUCAGAACUGCAAUCAUCUGCAGAGGACUGUCCUGCAGUCGAAUUUGCUUGAGAAAGUCUCAUCUGAAUCAAAUCCAAGAGAGAUGGACUUUUUCUUAACCGCAGACCCAAUGGGCUAGGCUCGUCAAGUACAUUGUGAUACAUAUCCUUGCUGCGGGGGCGGAGGCGGAGGCGGCGGCGCGGGCAUCUGGACCCCCGCCUUGGCGCGCUUGCUGAGCGGGCCGCCGUCCUCUUCGCCGCCAUGCAGCAUCUCGUCCGCCUCCAGCUUCACCGUAGCCCCCGCCGCCGACGCCGCCGCCAUGGCCGGCUCGGCCGGCCGCUUCCCGGAGCUCGGCAGCUGCACCAUGGGAGGGAUCACCCCCGGAAACCC